UACGUAGGGGGCAAGCGUUGUCCGGAAUCAUUGGGCGUAAAGAGCGUGUAGGCGGCUCGGUAAGUCCGCUCUGAAAGCCCGGGGCUCAACCCCGGGAGGCGGGCGGAUACUGUCGGGCUAGAGUCCGGAAGAGGCGAGUGGAAUUCCUGGUGUAGCGGUGAAAUGCGCAGAUAUCAGGAGGAACACCAAUGGCGAAGGCAGCUC
rnacentral:rRNA from 1 species